AAUGGUAGCAGUGAUGAUAUUGUUUUAAUCCCAGCUCAUUAUGAGACCUUCCAUCUAAUGAGAGGUCAACGAAUGGAUACCAAAACAUUAUCUGAGCUAAAU